rnacentral:rRNA from 1 species
UACGUAGGGGGCUAGCGUUGUCCGGAAUCAUUGGGCGUAAAGAGCGUGUAGGCGGCCAGGUAGGUCUGCUGUGAAAACUCGAGGCUCAACCUCGAGACGUCGGCGGAAACCAUCUGGCUAGAGUCCGGAAGAGGAGAGUGGAAUUCCUGGUGUAGCGGUGAAAUGCGCAGAUAUCAGGAAGAACACCCGUGGCGAAGGCGGCUCUCUGGGACGGUACUGACGCUGAGACGCGAAAAGCGUGGGGGAGCGAACAGGG